GAUGAACGCUGGCGGCGUGCCUAAUACAUGCAAGUCGAGCGAACAGACGAGGAGCUUGCUCCUCUGACGUUAGCGGCGGACGGGUGAGUAACACGUGGAUAACCUACCUAUAAGACUGGGAUAACUUCGGGAAACCGGAGCUAAUACCGGAUAAUAUAUUGAACCGCAUGGUUCAAUAGUGAAAGACGGUUUUGCUGUCACUUAUAGAUGGAUCCGCGCCGCAUUAGCUAGUUGGUAAGGUAACGGCUUACCAAGGCAACGAUGCGUAGCCGACCUGAGAGGGUGAUCGGCCACACUGGAACUGAGACACGGUCCAGACUCCUACGGGAGGCAGCAGUAGGGAAUCUUCCGCAAUGGGCGAAAGCUUGACGGAGCAACGCCGCGUGAGUGAUGAAGGUCUGCGGAUCGUAAAACUCUGUUAUUAGGGAAGAACAAAUGUGUAAGUAACUAUGCACGUCUGGACGGUACCUAAUCAGAAAGCCACGGCUAACUACGG
rnacentral:rRNA from 1 species